GCGAGCUAAGACUUGACUUGCAGGCUGGCGUAUUGGAAUAUCCUUAAAUAACUCCAUAUUACUUCCUCCUUCACUUGUCAUCUUCCCUGUAAUUGUAAAGACUGCUCUUCGGAGUUACUCUUUUUAUUGUAGUGAAACGAUAUCGUAGUCUUCUCUUGCUAGCAAAGCUUCAUUUUUUAUUCUCCUAAAACAGAAGAAAGCAGUAAAAGCAAUUUCUUCUCUUCGCUCGCCGAUGGCAAUUGACCCAAUUCUCUUAUUGUAAUCACUGUGUGUGUAAUUUCUUGUUGAUUUGUAGGCGGGGAUUAAUGGGCUGCACGCAAUCUAACAUCGAGGAUGAAGAAACUGUAAAUCGAUGCAGGGAGCGGAAGCAGUAUAUGGAGCGGGCCGUAGCGGCCCGCAACAAGUUUGCGGCUGCCCACUCGUCCUACGCGAUGUCCUUGAAGAACAUCGGUGCCGCCCUUAGUGACUUUGCUCAUGGAGAAGUUGUAUAUCCUGCCGGCGGCAGUGGCAGUGGAGGUGGAAUUGGUACUGAUGCCACCAUUCAGCCACCAAUUCUGCCUCAUGAUAGCAUUUCUUCUUUCCCUCCUCCCUUGCCUCCGUUCAAUCCGACUCCUUCACCACUACAGCGGGCGUCUACUGUUCCUGAAUUUCGAACUGAACUAAAGCGUACGAACUCGAUAACUGAGGAGGAGAGCGAAGAGGACAUUGAAAAUGAGAGUACUCAUAAUUUGAAGCAUCGCAGCAGUAAGAGUAGCGCACGGGGUAGUAUGGGAAGGAGAGAUGGACUUUCACAUAAGGAGGUUACUGAGGAAGAGGUCUUGCAGAAGCCACCUCCGCCAAUGCUGCCAAAUGAACCUGAUCACAAGCAUCUAGCCCGUCCUCCUCCUCCUCCUCCUCCUCCUCCUUCUGCUAUGAAUAACGACAAUUCUUGGGAUUAUUUCUUGGAGCCGGAUAUGCAAAGGUCGACACUGGCUGAUGUUGAGGAUGAUCACUACCAGGGACAGGAAAUUGAGCGAAAAAUGCGAGAAGAAAGGGCUAAGAAAAGUGAAAUGGAUGGUGAAAUUGAUGGAGGGAGGAGGGUUCAGAAGGUGGAGGUGGCCGCUGAAGUGGUGGAAGGCACAGUGAAUCUUUCAAAACAGCCUCCUCCGACUCAAAAAGUAGUGGCAACAAAGCUGGCCAAGAGAGUGAAAAUGGGGGCUCCAGCAGAAGGGAUAAUGAAAGGUGGACCGAGUAAUACAAACUUAUUGCAAAUAUUUGUGGAUUUUGAUGAUUGUUUUCUCAAGGCUUGCGAGAGUGCUCAUGAUGUAUCUAGGUUGCUCGAGGCCACCCGCUUGCAUUAUCACUCAAAUUUUGCAGAUAAAAGAGGUAUAAUAUAUAUAGUUGGUGUUUAAUGUGGCUAGAAUCGCAUAGUAAUGGCCUCGGAAUAAACUGAUAACAAUAAUGCUUAUUCAGUAUGAAUAUUGAAUAGUUUACAUACCAAAUUAAUAUACUUUAUCAAGGGAAGUUCUUUCACCUUAAUCAUGGUAGUUUACCGCAAAUGUUCAAUAUGAUCAUAAUUUUAGUUUGGAUUGGAAAGAGUGUCAGUCUAACUGUCCUGUCAGUGGUUGAAUGAUCCUUUCACUAUUUGAUGAUUAUAUAAAAGCUUACGUGAAAAAUAACAAAUGGCUUUGCAAAGAAAGAUAAAAAGAAAUUGCAUCUGCAUUAAGUGUAGUCGCGUAGUCAUUGAAACUAUAAGAAAAAUAGCUUUUAUUAUAUUUUGGCUUGGAGUCGGAACAAGAGUUAGUCCAAUAGUUCAGAUGAGCCAUGAAGUAUUCAUUUGAUGUAUAAAUACUACAGUCUUUUCUUUAUAGGGCACAUUGAUCAUUCUACUAGGGUCAUGCGCGUCAUUACAUGGAAUAGGUCCUUCAAAGGUUUACCCGACUUAGAUGAUGGAGUUGACGACUCUGAUUCUGACGAGCACGAGACUCAUGCAACAGUAUUGGACAAGAUGCUGGCAUGGGAGAAGAAGCUUUAUGAUGAAGUUAAAGUAUGCACAUUAAUAUUUAUGUUCAACUUGUCAUAUAUAUUCGGUGGAUCUUUAGACUUUGUUUCUUUAGUAAUCAUCUUGUUUAAUUUUCAUCAAAAAAGUUAUACUUAAAAAUGGAAGAGUUUCUAAAUUUCAUCUUAUUCUCAAUAAGGUGGUUGAAUUCGAAAAUUUUUCUUACAUUUUGUUGUUAAUUUUGAAUAUUGUGAACAGUUUGUUUAACAGCUUCAAUUUUUAUGUAAUAUUCUACCAAGCAUCAAAAUCUAAAUUUGGUGCUUUCAUUGAAGUUUUUGCCAUUGAUUGGCUUUUAGAUACUGGUAUCCUAGGUUCAUUGCUUCAAACCUCAAUCAGAAACUCCAGUGAGGGCAUGUACAACUGGAAACCAGCAACGUGUGACAGUGUUGAAUUUGACACCAUGUCAAAGAAAUUAAGCGUGUGACUGAUGAGUUAGCUCUGAUAUCAAAUUGACACAGAACUUUCUCAGAAUGAGAAUUAGAGAUGAUAUAAUAAAAGAAGAAUUUAGGAGGAAGAAAUCUAUAUUUAAUAUCAAUAAUUACUAUAGUAUGAAUAUAAAUGAAAUCCCAGGUUCCUUUACAUAGGAUAAAGAACUUAAAUCUCAAAGAUAAUUGUAUAACUUUCAUGGUUGGGGUAUAGCCAACUCCUGCUGGCUUGCUGGGUCUAAGUGGACAUCCCACUCAGAUUUAGAUGGUGUUUUAAUUAAAUGAAAACUUAAAUCUUAAAAAACCUCUAAUAAUCAACAACCUUUUCUUGUAAAAUUCUAGUUAAUCAAAACUACUGAAAUGUAAUGUAAAUCAAAAUCUAAAGAGGGAGGUAUAUAUGUUCAUAUCCAGUCAAAAUAUUAUACUGAAGGGAUUAAGAUGUAAAGUGAAAACCAAUCAAAAUUUUGUAGAGGAUAUUUGUCGUCAUAAAAGGAGGAGACAAGCCAAGUAUACAUUUAGUCAGUCCUACGCUUUCAAGAAAUGGUAUAGAUUUCCCUUGUAAUAAAAUUAGAUUUUAGCCUAUGAUUCUUGAAUUUGACAUGGUAUCUCCUAAUUUUGUUGUUGCAAAAAAAUGUCGGUUUUGGACAUUCAUUGCUGCUACCGGAAUGAGAGAGCAGUCCCAAUCAAUUUUCUUUCUUUUUUUCUUGGUAUUCAAUUGAUUAGUGUUAAAACAAGAUUCUUCAUUAUAGUUUUGUAUCUUGACUGCUUGAUUCAUCUCUGUGGCCUUCACUGUCUACCCUUAUAUAUGUAUCCUGAAUUCCUGAUGUGGCCCAUAUUUGAUGAACACAUACCAGAAAUAUCCUGCUGUAUCUAGUGAUCAAUAUUUAUUUAUUAGUAAUGGCGAAGAUGAUAAAUUUUUUGAAUCCCACAAAAUAUUCUCUGUUUCUUUGCCACUUAAUGCCGUGUAAUGUUUGUCUCUGAAUCUCUCUCUCCAUUAAGAAUAGUUUGUGGUUUGUCUUUGAUGCUACAGGCAGGUGAGCAAAUGAAACUUGAAUAUCAGAAAAAGGUAGCUUCGUUGAAUAAGUUGAAGAAACAUGGCUCAAACACAGGCGCCUUAGAAAGGAUGAAAGCAGCAGUUAGUCAUCUGCAUACCAGAUACAUUGUUGACAUGCAAUCCAUGGACUCCACCGUUUCAGAAAUUAAUAGUUUGUGCAAUGAUCACCUGUAUCCGAAACUUGUUACCCUUGUUGAUGCGUAAGUUCCUACGCUGCUAUGAGAAAUACUGCCUAUUGUCUAGCCGUUGUUGAUGAUCUGUAGCUUGCUUCCAUUAGCAUUUGUUAUAAGCAAAAUAAUUAGUGUGG
rnacentral:lncRNA from 1 species